rnacentral:rRNA from 1 species
GAUCCUGGCUCAGGAUGAACGCUAGCUACAGGCUUAACACAUGCAAGUCGAGGGGCAGCAUGUCGGUUGCUUGCAACCGACGAUGGCGACCGGCGCACGGGUGAGUAACGCGUAUCCAACCUACCCUUGUCCAUCGGAUAACCCGUCGAAAGGCGGCCUAACACGAUAUGCGGUUCUCAGCAGGCAUCUAACGAGAACGAAAUGUGAAGGAGAAGGAUGGGGAUGCGUCUGAUUAGCUUGUUGGCGGGGUAACGGCCCACCAAGGCAACGAUCAGUAGGGGGUUCUGAGAGGAAGGUCCCCCACAUUGGAACUGAGACACGGUCCAAACUCCUACGGGAGGCAGCAGUGAGGAAUAUUGGUCAAUGGACGGAAGUCUGAACCAGCCAAGUAGCGUGCAGGAUGACGGCCCUAUGGGUUGUAAACUGCUUUUAUAUGGGGAUAAAGUGGGUCACGUGUGGCUUAUUGCAGGUACCAUAUGAAUAAGGACCGGCUAAUUCCGUG